rnacentral:lncRNA from 1 species
GAAAAGAAAAAAAGUGGUCAGAGCAGAUCAACUGAAAGAAAAGAACCUUCACUUCAUUAUUUUAUUUUAUUUCAUUUUUUGAGACAGAGUUUCUGUCACCCAGGCUGGAGUGCAGUNNNNNNNNNNGCUGGGAUUACAGGCAUGCGCCACCACGCCCGGCCCCUUCACUUCAAAUUCAAUAGAUAUCAGAGUUGAGGUGCAGAAAGUCUGGGUACUAGUCCAUAUGGAAUAAACAAACCGUGGACAACUCCUCCUUACUAAAAAAUUAUACCCUGAAGAUACUCUUUUAACUGGCUGUCAGAUCACAGAGAAAAAUCAAGAUCACCUGAGGUUGGGAGUUCAAGACCUGCCUGACCAACAUGGAGAAACC